AUGUUUGCAACCCUCGCUCGGCUACCUGCUUUGAGUCCCGGAUGUCUGCGGAGCUCUCUCAUUUCGCUCCACACGGACUCAGAGCGGAAGUCGCUCCUAGUCCGCGCCUUUGCUUUUCUCCACGCGGCAGGGGUCUGCACCGGGUGCCCCCCUUCCGGCCACGCGAGCCUCCUCGCCGCAGUGUCGUCCUCCAGAAGGGUGUUGACAGGGUCCCGGACUUCAACCUGUACCCGCCCCCUUCCUGCCCAGCUCUUCGGAGAUGCGCGGCUCGCGAGGGGUGAGAAAUGACCGUCUCCAUCAAUCGUCGCUUUUCCUGG
rnacentral:lncRNA from 1 species